UAUUCCUACGGGAGGCAGCAGUGGGGAAUAUUGCACAAUGGGGGAAACCCUGAUGCAGCAACGCCGCGUGAGUGAAGAAGGUUUUCGGAUUGUAAAGCUCUGUUAGCAGGGAAGAGGAAGGACGGUACCUGCAGAGGAAGCCACGGCUAACUACGUGCCAGCAGCCGCGGUAAUACGUAGGUGGCAAGCGUUGUUCGGAAUAACUGGGCGUAAAGGAUGCGUAGGCGGUUAAACAAGUUUUAUGUUAAAUCUCUAGGCUUAACC
rnacentral:rRNA from 1 species